CCAGACUUUUGAGAACUACAUUUUCCUUGAACCGCCUAGAAUGUUGUCAGCCAUGUCCUCACGGAUAUAUAAGGGGCAGGACAUCACCUUUCAGUCAGUGAGAUAUAAGAAUGAACUGAAGGGCCACUUCUUCUCUGAGUAAUCCCCACUCCAAUCCUACAUCUCCUGAGGAUUCCUGCAAUGAAGGUGAAUCAUGCUGGAAGGAACAGACUUGGAACUGCUGCUGAUUCCCCCUAUAAACACUUAAAUUAAAAGAACUUCAUUGACGACUGCAGAACAAGCAGAAAUAGGACAUCACAAAUCUGCAGGAAAUCAGAACAAUUGAGAGGAAGAGGGAUUUUUAGUUAGACUAUUGUGGGACCCAGGAAGCUUAAGAAUCAGCAAUUUGUUUUCUGGACUGAAUCUUAUGUAUUUAGUACCCUAGUAAUUUUUUGCAGAAACAGA